GAUGAACGCUGGCGGCGUGCUUAACACAUGCAAGUCGAACGAAGCUGCCCAAAGGAAGUUUUCGGAUGGAAUUUAGGUAGACUUAGUGGCGGACGGGUGGGUAACGCGUGGAUAACCUGCCUUAUACAGGGGGAUAACGGAGAGAAAUUUCCGCUAAGACCGCAUAAGACCACAGCACCGCAUGGUGCAGGGGUAAAAUAUUUAUAGGUAUAAGAUGGAUCCGCGUCCGAUUAGCUUGUUGGUGAGGUAGAGGCUCACCAAGGCGACGAUCGGUAGCCGGCCUGAGAGGGUGAACGGCCACAUUGGGACUGAGACACGGCCCAAACUCCUACGGGAGGCAGCAGUGGGGAAUAUUGGACAAUGGGGGGAACCCUGAUCCAGCGACGCCCGCGUGAGUGAAAGAAAGUA
rnacentral:rRNA from 1 species